AGAGUUUGAUCCUGGCUCAGGACGAACGCUGGCGGCGUGCUUAACACAUGCAAGUCGAACGGGCCUGCUCCUUGUGGGUGGGUUAGUGGCGAACGGGUGAGUAUCACGUGAGUAACCUGCCCCCUGCUCCUGGAUAACGCUCUGAAAGGGGUGCUAAUACGGGGUGUGCUGGUGCUGCCGCAUGGUGGUGCCGGGAUAGGUUCCCUCUUUUGGGGGGUUCUGGUGGGGGAUGGGCUCGCGGCCUAUCAGCUUGUUGGUGGGGUGAUGGCCCACCAAGGCGGUGACGGGUAGCCGGCCUGAGAGGGUGGGCGGCCACACUGGGACUGAGACACGGCCCAGACUCCUGCGGGAGGCAGCAGUGGGGGGUAUUGCACAAUGGGCGGAAGCCUGAUGCAGCGACGUCGCGUGAGGGAUGGAGGCCUUCGGGUUGUGAACCUCUUUCUCCGGUGGUGAAGGCCCUGUCCGUUGCGGCGGGGUUGACGGUAGCCGGGUAUGAAGCGCCGGCUAACUACGUGCCAGCAGCCGCGGUGAUACGUAGGGCGCGAGCGUUGUCCGGAAUUAUUGGGCGUGAAGGGCUUGUAGGCGGCCGGUCGCGUCCGCCGUGAAAUUCUCCGGCUCAACCGGGGGCUUGCGGUGGGUACGGGCCGGCUGGAGUGCGGUAGGGGAGGCUGGAACUCCUGGUGUAGCGGUGGAAUGCGCAGAUAUCAGGAGGAACACCGGUGGCGAAGGCGGGUCUCUGGGCCGUUACUGACGCUGAGGAGCGAAAGCGUGGGGAGCGAACAGGAUUAGAUACCCUGGUAGUCCACGCUGUAAACGAUGGAUACUAGCUGUUUGGUUGUUAAGACUGAGUGGCUAAGCGAAAGUGAUAAGUAUCCCACCUGGGGAGUACGCACGCAAGUGUGAAACUCAAAGGAAUUGACGGGGGCCCGCACAAGCGGUGGAGCAUGUGGUUUAAUUCGAUGAUACGCGAGGAACCUUACCAAGGUUUAAAUGGAGACUGACAGGUGUAGAGAUACGCUUUUCUUCGGACAGUUUUCAAGGUGCUGCAUGGUUGUCGUCAGCUCGUGCCGUGAGGUGUCAGGUUAAGUCCUAUAACGAGCGCAACCCCUAUUGUUAGUUACCAGCAAGUAAAGUUGGGGACUCUAGCAAGACUGCCGGUGUAAACCGUGAGGAAGGUGGGGAUGACGUCAAAUCAUCACGGCCCUUACAUCUUGGGCUACACACGUGCUACAAUGGUCGUUACAGAGAGCAGCCACUGCGUGAGCAGGCGCGAAUCUAUAAAGACGAUCACAGUUCGGAUCGGAGUCUGCAACUCGACUCCGUGAAGCUGGAAUCGCUAGUAAUCGGAUAUCAGCCAUGAUCCGGUGAAUACGUUCCCGGGCCUUGUACACACCGCCCGUCAAGCCAUGGAAGCUGGGGGUACCUGAAGACGGUCACCGCGAGGAGCUGUUUAGGGUAAAACUAGUGACUGGGGCUAAGUCGUAACAAGGUAGCCGUACCGG
rnacentral:rRNA from 1 species